GGACCCUUAGCUCAAUCGGUUAGAGCAAUCGGCUCAUAACCGAUGGGUUGUAGGUUCGAGUCCUACAGGGUCCACCA
rnacentral:tRNA from 1 species